GUUGUUAAAUGCUGCACUGUGUGAGAGAUACAGCUAAACUGGGGCCCAAUGCCUUCUACAAGGUAACUGUUGUUAAAUGCUGCACUGUGUGAGAGAUACAGCUAAACUGGGGCCCAAUGCCUUCUACAAGGUAACUGUUGUUAAAUGCUGCACUGUGUGAGAGAUACAGCUAAACUGGGGCCCAAUGCCUUCUACAAGGUAACUGUUGUUAAAUGCUGCACUGUGUGAGAGAUACAGCUAAACUGGGGCCCAAUGCCUUCUACAAGGUAACUGUUGUUAAAUGCUGCACUGUGUGAGAGAUACAGCUAAACUGGGGCCCAAUGCCUUCUACAAGGUAACUGUUGUUAAAUGCUGCACUGUGUGAGAGAUACAGCUAAACUGGGGCCCAAUGCCUUCUACAAGGUAACUGUUGUUAAAUGCUGCACUGUGUGAGAGAUACAGCUAAACUGGGGCCCAAUGCCUUCUACAAGGUAACUGUUGUUAAAUGCUGCACUGUGUGAGAGAUACAGCUAAACUGGGGCCCAAUGCCUUCUACAAGGUAACUGUUGUUAAAUGCUGCACUGUGUGAGAGAUACAGCUAAACUGGGGCCCAAUGCCUUCUACAAGGUAACUGUUGUUAAAUGCUGCACUGUGUGAGAGAUACAGCUAAACUGGGGCCCAAUGCCUUCUACAAGGUAACUGUUGUUAAAUGCUGCACUGUGUGAGAGAUACAGCUAAACUGGGGCCCAAUGCCUUCUACAAGGUAACUGUUGUUAAAUGCUGCACUGUGUGAGAGAUACAGCUAAACUGGGGCCCAAUGCCUUCUACAAGGUAACUGUUGUUAAAUGCUGCACUGUGUGAGAGAUACAGCUAAACUGGGGCCCAAUGCCUUCUACAAGGUAACUGUUGUUAAAUGCUGCACUGUGUGAGAGAUACAGCUAAACUGGGGCCCAAUGCCUUCUACAAGGUAACUGUUGUUAAAUGCUGCACUGUGUGAGAGAUACAGCUAAACUGGGGCCCAAUGCCUUCUACAAGGUAACUGUUGUUAAAUGCUGCACUGUGUGAGAGAUACAGCUAAACUGGGGCCCAAUGCCUUCUACAAGGUAACUGUUGUUAAAUGCUGCACUGUGUGAGAGAUACAGCUAAACUGGGGCCCAAUGCCUUCUACAAGGUAACUGUUGUUAAAUGCUGCACUGUGUGAGAGAUACAGCUAAACUGGGGCCCAAUGCCUUCUACAAGGUAACUGUUGUUAAAUGCUGCACUGUGUGAGAGAUACAGCUAAACUGGGGCCCAAUGCCUUCUACAAGGUAACUGUUGUUAAAUGCUGCACUGUGUGAGAGAUACAGCUAAACUGGGGCCCAAUGCCUUCUACAAGGUAACUGUUGUUAAAUGCUGCACUGUGUGAGAGAUACAGCUAAACUGGGGCCCAAUGCCUUCUACAAGGUAACUGUUGUUAAAUGCUGCACUGUGUGAGAGAUACAGCUAAACUGGGGCCCAAUGCCUUCUACAAGGUAACUGUUGUUAAAUGCUGCACUGUGUGAGAGAUACAGCUAAACUGGGGCCCAAUGCCUUCUACAAGGUAACUGUUGUUUAAUGCUGCACUGUGUGAGAGAUACAGCUAAACUGGGGCCCAAUGCCUUCUACAAGGUAACUGUUGUUUAAUGCUGCACUGUGUGAGAGAUACAGCUAAACUGGGGCCCAAUGCCUUCUACAAGGUAACUGUUGUUUAAUGCUGCACUGUGUGAGAGAUACAGCUAAACUGGGGCCCAAUGCCUUCUACAAGGUAACUGUUGUUUAAUGCUGCACUGUGUGAGAGAUACAGCUAAACUGGGGCCCAAUGCCUUCUACAAGGUAACUGUUGUUUAAUGCUGCACUGUGUGAGAGAUACAGCUAAACUGGGGCCCAAUGCCUUCUACAAGGUAACUGUUGUUUAAUGCUGCACUGUGUGAGAGAUACAGCUAAACUGGGGCCCAAUGCCUUCUACAAGGUAACUGUUGUUUAAUGCUGCACUGUGUGAGAGAUACAGCUAAACUGGGGCCCAAUGCCUUCUACAAGGUAACUGUUGUUUAAUGCUGCACUGUGUGAGAGAUACAGCUAAACUGGGGCCCAAUGCCUUCUACAAGGUAACUGUUGUUUAAUGCUGCACUGUGUGAGAGAUACAGCUAAACUGGGGCCCAAUGCCUUCUACAAGGUAACUGUUGUUUAAUGCUGCACUGUGUGAGAGAUACAGCUAAACUGGGGCCCAAUGCCUUCUACAAGGUAACUGUUGUUUAAUGCUGCACUGUGUGAGAGAUACAGCUAAACUGGGGCCCAAUGCCUUCUACAAGGUAACUGUUGUUUAAUGCUGCACUGUGUGAGAGAUACAGCUAAACUGGGGCCCAAUGCCUUCUACAAGGUAACUGUUGUUAAAUGCUGCACUGUGUGAGAGAUACAGCUAAACUGGGGCCCAAUGCCUUCUACAAGGUAACUGUUGUUAAAUGCUGCACUGUGUGAGAGAUACAGCUAAACUGGGGCCCAAUGCCUUCUACAAGGUAACUGUUGUUAAAUGCUGCACUGUGUGAGAGAUACAGCUAAACUGGGGCCCAAUGCCUUCUACAAGGUAACUGUUGUUAAAUGCUGCACUGUGUGAGAGAUACAGCUAAACUGGGGCCCAAUGCUUUCUACAAGGUAACUGUUGUUAAAUGCCUUCUACAAGGUAACUGUUGUUAAAUGCCUUCUACAAGGUAACUGUUGUUAAAUGCCUUCUACAAGGUAACUGUUGUUAAAUGCCUCCUACAAGGUAACUGUUGUUAAAUGCCUUCUACAAGGUAACUGUUGUUAAAUGCCUUCUACAAGGUAACUGUUGUUAAAUGCCUCCUACAAGGUAACUGUUGUUAAAUAUCAUGGACAAUGAAGUAGCGUAGUUGACAUGGCCUUAAACCAGCAGUGUUCAACCCUUCCUCCUUGAGAGCCAUCCUCCUGCAGGAUGUUGUUAUUUUGUUAAUUUAACACCUGGUUCUGCUUGCCAGCUGGAGUUCAACCCUUUCUCCUUGAGAGCCAUCCUCCUGCAGGAUGUUGUUAUUUUGUUAAUUUAACACCUGGUUCUGCUUGCCAGCUGGAGUUUAAAAGGGAUAAUAUAUAAAUCAGGAAACUCCUGUCAGUUUGGUGUCUUCUCUCAGUGGGUAAAAUAACUAUUUUCACCACGACUUGACUUCAAAGUGGUCCGUCUGUGAAAUCAGCCGAUUUUACAGCGAACUAGCGACUUCACGUGCUGACAUUGACUUUGUUAUUAUUGUGUGUGUAGCUACCUAGAGAGCUACCUAGCCAGCCCAGAGAGAGAGAGAGAGCAUUGCAUUGUGGGUUUUGUAGUUGACCUGAGCUGCAACCGAUUUCCAC